rnacentral:rRNA from 1 species
UACGAAGGGGGCUAGCGUUGCUCGGAAAUCACUGGGCGUAAAGGGUGCGUAGGCGGGUUUUAAGUCAGAGGUGAAAUCCUGGAGCUCAACUCCAGAACUGCCUUUGAUACUGAGGAUCUUGAGUUCGGGAGAGGUGAGUGGAACUGCGAGUGUAGAGGUGAAAUUCGUAGAUAUUCGCAAGAACACCAGUGGCGAAGGCGGCUCACUGGCCCGAUACUGACGCUGAGGCACGAAAGCGUGGGGAGCAAACAGG